UCGGGAAUUUUGGGCAAUGGGCGAAAGCCUGACCCAGCAACGCCGCGUGAGGGAUGAAGUAUUUCGGUAUGUAAAGCUCGAAAGAAUGGGAAGAAUAAAUGACGGUACCAUUUAUAAGCUCCGGCUAACUACGUGCCAGCAGCCGCGGUAAUACGUAGGGAGCAAGCGUUGUUCGGAUUUACUGGGCGUAAAGGGCGCGUAGGCGGCGCGGUAAGUCACUUGGGAAAUCUCUGAGCUUAACUCAGAACGGCCAAGUGAUACUGCUGUGCUAGAGUGCGGAAGAGGCAACCGGAAUUCUUGGUGUAGCGGUGAAAUGCGUAGAUAUCAAGAGGAACACCUGAGGCGAAGGCGGGUUGCUGGGCCGACACUGACGCUGAUGCGCGAAAGCCAGGGUAGCAAACG
rnacentral:rRNA from 1 species